rnacentral:ncRNA from 1 species
UAUUUUCGCAGCGAAAUUGGUUGAUCGCUGAAGAUAUUUCAGUUAUCAUUAAAAGGGAAUCAGGUGAUUCUUAACGAAAAAACCUGAGCUGUUCCCGCAACUGUAAGCUUCGUCUGUAAAAAGAUGCUUGUGGUAAAACUUCAAAAAUCCACUGUCGAAAGAUGGGAAGGAAGACCACAAGACGCGAGCCAGGAGACCUGCCAGUUUGUAACUAAAAUCU